GACGAACCGUGCGAACGUUGUUCGGAUUCACUGGGCUUAAAGGGCGCGUAGGCGGGCGACCAAGUCAGGGGUGAAAUCCUUCAGCUUAACUGGAGAACAGCCUCUGAUACUGGCCGUCUGGAGGGAGGUAGGGGCCUGUGGAACUGCUGGUGGAGCGGUGAAAUGCGUAGAUAUCAGCAGGAACGCCGGUGGCGAAAGCGACGGGCUGGACCUCAUCUGACGCUGAGGCGCGAAAGCUAGGGGAGCAAACGGGAUUAGAAACCCUUGUAGU
rnacentral:rRNA from 1 species